GACGUAGGGUGCGAGCGUUGUCCGGAUUUAUUGGGCGUAAAGAGCUCGUAGGCGGUCUGUCGCGUCUGCUGUGAAAACUCAGGGCUUAACCCUGAGCUUGCAGUGGGUACGGGCAGACUAGAGGUAGGUAGGGGAGAAUGGAAUUCCUGGUGUAGCGAUGAAAUGCGCAGAUAUCAGGAGGAACACCGGUGGCGAAGGCGGUUCUCUGGGCCUUACCUGACACUGAGGAGCGAAAGCGUGGGGAGCGAACAGG
rnacentral:rRNA from 1 species